CCCCUUCUCUCCUCUCUCUUCUCUAUCUUCUCUCGAUUCCAAUCUCAGAUCUCUCCAUCUAAUGGAGGUGCACUGGUGCAGACUCUGGCAGCUCUCUCACCUUGGCAUCCUAGUUAGCCCUAGAUGUGGAUCUGGCCCUCUCCUUUUCUCUCUCUCUCUCUCUCUCUCUCUCUCUCUCUCUCUCUCAAACCCAGGCCCAAAACACAGCGAACAGCCAAAUCGGAAACCCACAUCGCCCUUCUUACUUCUCCUGUCUCCCAGCUUCAAUUUCUCUCCGACUCAUCCUCAACAUAUGCCUAGUAACCCUAAUCCCAAAACUCGCCGUAUUCACUCUAGAAAAUUGAGAAUUCAUUUCAAUGCAGAAGGAGAUAAAUGGGUAAGUUGCUCUCCCAAAAUGGAUUGGGAAGUGAAAAGUGAAAUCAGAAAGAAUGAGAGUAAGAACAUAGGGAAGCUUGUGACCAUGUAGAUUUAUGGUGGCCCACUUUCAUCCGCUUCCAGCUAUGGUCUCCAUGGAACUGGUGGAAGAGGUUUGAAGGUGCUUUAAAGGUUAAGAUAGAGUUUGACGACCUGAAGAAUAAGGCACUUCAUACCUGCAGUUGCUUCAAUUCCCUUGUUAGUCAAAUUGAGUGGUCUUGUCACUGACAGCUUGUUCUUCAGUAAGCUAAGCGCUAAACUUAAUGACUGACAAUGCAUGUUUUCUUUUUCAUUUUUUUUCUCCAAGUAAUAAACUACAAAAUUUUAGGAGCUCAUUGCAUUGAAUUGUUCUUGCAGUUUCAGUUUCUUAGGUUUUUGUUUGUGUUUUAGUGCUUAAGAGUCUUUUUCCCCCCUCAAAUUUGGGCAGUAGAUUGGGAAGCAUUUUUACGAUAUCGGCCUAUGUUGGCCACUUUCAUCCACUUCCACCUGUGAUCUCCAUGGAACUGCUUGAUGACAUAAAGAAAAUGCAGUAGUAUGCGGUCCUUUCUUAGUCAAAUUGAGAGCUCCCUGCUAUAAUUUCUCUAGGCUUAACUUGAGUAAUCCCUCCCCUUGUCUCUUACUCAAGAUCAAAUAAUGCAUUUGUUUCAGGCAAACAUUCCUGCUGCUUACCUAAAUGCCAAUAUGGAGUAGAGUGAACAACAGGAGAAAACUCUGAAUAUGUCACCCCUGAAAAAGUUGCCAAAUUUUAAACUAUAUAAUUAUGGAUGGGAACUUGGUUUGCCCUGGAAAGAUGGGAAGAUCUGUAGCUGUAGACAUUUAUAAUCUAAGUGAGAAAUCGUCUUUGGAGUUGAGACCAUUCAUUAAGGCUGUUUGAAAGUUGCAAUGUUUUCACUAGUUCAAGAGUCGAGACGAAUUCAUGGACAUCCACAAUGAAUACGCUGUGGGUUGAACUUGUAUAGUUAGAUUAUUGUUAGUAGUUAUUUAUUGAAUCGUUAGUUAUUGCUUAAUAACUUUGUGCUCAUUGUAUUGUAUUUUAGUUAUAAUAGAUACAUUGGUCACUAGUCUCGUACUAAAUUAUGUAUAUUUUAAUUUUUUUUUUGUGUCAUGUAAAAGAUACAAGGACGUCUUUUCUACGUCCUAAUAGACAUUAGAUGACGUUUGUAUGAGAUACGAGGACGUUUUUCUUGUGUCCUUUUAGAUAUUAAAUGACGUUUUUUUGAGUUAUAAUGACGUUUUUUUAGUGUCAUUGUAGACAUUAGAAGACGUUUGUAAAUAGAAACAAGGACACUUUUUCAACGUCCUUGUAGACAUUUAAGGACGUUUUUUGAACGUCCUAAAAGAUGACUUACUAUGACUCCUUGAUAGAUGACGUUUUUUUCGAGCGUCCUUAAAAGUUUUUAAGGACGUUUUUUGAAUGUC